UUUGCUUUUAUUUCUGUUUUGGUCUUUAGUGGGAUUGUGUCAUUCAAAAGAAUUUCAGACCACACAAAUCUUUCAUUCUCAUUUUCGUAUUCCUCCCAAGUUCUCUCUCUAAACUCAGACCCAUCCUCUAUUCUCUCUCUCUCUCUGUUUUUGAAUUUAUUUAUUAUUUUGUUUAUGAAUUUGAUGAUCUGUGAUUUUUGUUUGCAGAAGAAGGAAAAUAUCACUCCGAUUGGCUUGAAGAUCGUGCUCACGAACCCAGCUCUUUACCAAAGCCUCAAGAUCCACUCCCUCUGCAAACAAUAGGCAAUGAAGUGCUGAAAUCGAUGGUUUCUAACGAGAGAACUGAGAACCAGCUCCACCAAAAUCGAUUCCUCCACUCUCUGUGAUUUUAAUUUCUUUAUUAUCUCCUAAAUUUCUUGCAUAAUCUUUUCUGAUGCUUGGCAGGGACUCGACGAACUGGAGGAAACCGAUUUCAGUAAUCAAAUGGUGGUUCUCGCCCUCUAUGAGACCAUGUACUCCGAUUUGAAUUUCUCUCUAUGGUUUCUAACGAGAGAAUUGAGAAGUAGCUCCACCAAAAUCGAUUCCUCCACUCUCUGUGAUUUUAAUUUCUUUAUUAUCUCCUAAAUUUCCUGCAUAAUCUUUUCUGAUGCUUGACAGGGACUCGACGAACUGGAGGAAACCGAUUUCAGUAAUCAAAGGGUGGUUCUCGCCCUCUAUGAGACCAUGUACUUGCACGAUGUAACCACGAUGCACCAGAUUGUCGCCGACUGGAAGGGAAUCUCCGUUUCUGUCUUCUGAGCCCAGGCAAAGCAUCCCCUCUCUACGUAUCGUACGAGUGGGUCACCACGACUCGCUGAUACCCUCCAUCUCAUCCAUGCUGUUUCCAGCGUGAAAGACCAGCAAAUCCAGCGGCUUCGUGAAGACGAUUGGGAACAAAAGAAAAAAAAAAACAUAAAAUAAAAUAAAAGUGAGGAAAGUCAUGGAGAUGACCCCACUCUUCACUAACUGUUUUGUCCUUGUCCACGGAGGUGGCUUUGGUGCUUGGUGCUAUAACACAUCCUGUCCGAUGAGAUAAGCACAAGCACACGUUUUGUGAUAAGAAUUUAUUUCAAUUACGUCACUAUCAUAUUUUUUUUAUUUUAUUUUGUAGGCCCACGCAUGCAAGUUGACAUUGUGGUUGAGAGAGUGGAUGGGUGUUGCUGUAAAGGUAUUUUGGAGGAGAAUUUUCAGUGAAUUGGUAGUUGAGCAUGUGAACCAGCAUCUCUGUCCUUUUUGGUUGUUGAGCACGUGACAGAAGUAGAGCUGUGAUCAGAAUGAAAGCAUGGAGCAUUCUCUACCCUGAUGAAACUUUCAUAACCUUGGACCAGUGCUUCAAUGAUUUUCUUGUCAAAGUGGACAGAAAGUCUAUCAGUACCGAUGAAAUUACUACCACAAGUCCCAUGGCUGAAUCUAUGGCAAUCACUGCAACAUGUGCUUGAUCAUUUCACAACUAGACCACGAGGGCAAAGUGUUACUCUUCCAAAAUUAAUUUUUUAUUUUUUGUGGAAAAUAAUAGUACAUAAAUAUGGAAUUCAAUUUGCUUAUGAUGAUUUAACAUGAAUUCCGAGUGAUUAUUGGAAUUGCACUUGUUUUGGCUGAAAAAAUUGCUACUGAUGUGAAUGGGGCAGGGCAGUGGAUUAAAUUUAGAGGCAUGGGGUCUCAACCAUAAGAUGUACUCAUUAGUCUUCAACAUGUGCAAUGCACAGGAAAGACUGAUUUUAUUAAAUAAAGAAUACUUUAUGUUACUAAA